UAACUGCUAUUCGACAUUAGAGGGCUGGAAGCAGGAAAACACCUCUGAUCUCUCAGUCACUUUGGGAAUUAAUGAAUCAGUCAGAUCAGUCCGAGCACCAGAUUGGGGUCUUGAUGUCGCUCCAGACUCAUAUGUCCACAUAUUUUUGGCCAUAUAUUGUAAACAAAUGCGCACAAAGAUGUCAGGCAGAUUAUCUGUGGUAGUUCUGAUGAUGGUUGUGUGUUAAAGAAGCGGUUGUGUUUGUACCUUGGUUCACGGACCAGGUGAAUUUGGACGUGUCCGGAUCACAGAGGAGGCAGGGGCUGCUGGGAUUGGAGUCUCCCUCCGUGAAACACAUCCCGUCGAUGGUACAUGUCCUCUCCUGGCAGGCAGAGAGACAGAGCAGCAAAAGCAGCAGCUCCUGAAGUAAAAACAACCGUCAGCAGAAAGCGGACAUCAAGCGUCCGUGAACUCAGAGGGCAGAGUGGGUGGGGUCAAAGGUCAAUGAGCUCCUCCCACAGAGGGCACUUCUGAUCGAGGUGUCCUGAAGGUCACGUCUGAGAUCCCAGCACAGUUUGACGCCGUGUGGAUGGAAAAUAUCACCUUGGGCAGGAGCGGGAGCUCGAGCUAACGCGACGCAAUGGGAGCAGACGGCUCGGCGAGCUGUGAGCGGGAACAACGAGGCAGAAGAAGAAAAGACGGUGAGCAACACAGGGCCAAACAUUGAGCCUUUGCAGCAGUCCUACACAGUUUAGGGAAGUAGUAGUAGUAGUACAAAAAAGCAGUAUAGUUGAUCUCAUACUGAAGAUCCAUACAUGUUCAUGAAUGUGACCGAGUACAGUAAAACAAUCAAAAACAAUCAAACUCAUUCUCUCAAAGAUAAGACAUGAUGGAAC